rnacentral:rRNA from 1 species
AUUGAACGCUGGCGGCAUGCCUUACACAUGCAAGUCGAACGGCAGCACGGGUGCUUGCACCUGGUGGCGAGUGGCGAACGGGUGAGUAAUACAUCGGAACAUGUCCUGUAGUGGGGGAUAGCCCGGCGAAAGCCGGAUUAAUACCGCAUACGAUCUACGGAUGAAAGCGGGGGACCUUCGGGCCUCGCGCUAUAGGGUUGGCCGAUGGCUGAUUAGCUAGUUGGUGGAGUAAAGGCCUACCAAGGCGACGAUCAGUAGCUGGUCUGAGAGGACGACCAGCCACACUGGGACUGAGACACGGCCCAGACUCCUACGGGAGGCAGCAGUGGGGAAUUUUGGACAAUGGGCGAAAGCCUGAUCCAGCAAUGCCGCGUGUGUGAAGAAGGCCUUCGGGUUGUAAAGCACUUUUGUCCGGAAAGAAAUCCUUGGCCCUAAUACGGUCGGGGGAUGACGGUACCGGAAGAAUAAGCACCGGCUAACUACGUG